GAUGAACGCUGGCGGCGUGCCUAAUACAUGCAAGUCGAGCGAACAGAUGAGGAGCUUGCUCCUCUGACGUUAGCGGCGGACGGGUGAGUAACACGUGGAUAACCUACCUAUAAGACUGGGAUAACUUCGGGAAACCGGAGCUAAUACCGGAUAAUAUAUUGAACCGCAUGGUUCAAUAGUGAAAGACGGUUUUGCUGUCACUUAUAGAUGGAUCCGCGCCGCAUUAGCUAGUUGGUAAGGUAACGGCUUACCAAGGCAACGAUGCGUAGCCGACCUGAGAGGCGGAUCGGCCACACUGGAACUGAGACACGGUCCAGACUCCUACGGGAGGCAGCAGUAGGGAAUCUUCCGCAAUGGGCGAAAGCCUGACGGAGCAACGCCGCGUGAGUUAUGACGGUCUUCGGAUCGUAAAACUCUGUUAUUAGGGAAGAACAAAUGUGUAAGUAACUAUGCACGUCUUGACGGUACCUAAUCAGAAAGCCACGGCUAACUACGUG
rnacentral:rRNA from 1 species